CACGUAGGGCGCAAGCGUUGUCCGGAAUUAUUGGGCGUAAAGAGCUCGUAGGCGGUCUGUUGCGUCCGCUGUGAAAACCCGGGGCUUAACCCUGGGCUGGCAGUGGAUACGGACAGACUAGAGGUAGGUAGGGGAGAAUGGAAUUCCCGGUGUAGCGGUGAAAUGCGCAGAUAUCGGGAGGAACACCGGUGGCAAAGGCGGUUCUCUGGGCCUUACCUGACGCUGAGGAGCGAAAGCGUGGGGAGCGAACAGG
rnacentral:rRNA from 1 species